AUGUUCCUGAAGAAGACCAGCGUGCUGUCAGAGGGGCACAGCAUGUCCCCCAUCCCGAUCACCCAGAGCCUGCGGAUCCUGCGGAGUGUGGCCCGCAGGGAGGCCCCCUGCUCAGAACGAAGGCCACACCAGGCCCCACACAGCCUCAGCAAGUCAGCUCUGGCCACCUCCUGCUACUCGAGGAAGACGAACGUGCCCAAGGCUGUCCCCAGCCUCAGCGGCUUUGCGCCCGAGAUGGAGGCACUGAGGAAGGCAUUCCUCAUGCGGCCCGGCUGCCCCCAGUUCAGCACCAGGGCGACAUCCAUGUCUCAUCUGGGCUCGGGAUCCUCCAUCCACCCGCCCAGGGUGUUGGGCAGCCGCUCCAAGAGCCAGAGGGGGAUGGAGGACUGGCUGCUGGACAGGCAGGACUCGGACCAGAGUUCAGAGGGGCGCCCCCUCCUGGGCAGCAAGAGCGACUGCCAGCUCAGCACGCAGAGGAAGAGCACCUCCCAGACCCUGAGUCCUGUGUGCAGCUGGGGGGGCACAGACCAGAGGCUGCCCUGGUACAUCGCGGUCAUCCAGGAGAAGGUUGACAAGCUUCGUUUUUUAGAAACGUGUCUCUUUCGUGUAAAUCUUCAGCUUCACCGGCCUCACACUGCAGGAUCUGAGGAUAACCUUGUCGCUCCGCCUGUCGGCUCGGCAGGCUGGCCCCGUUUUCCUCCCUGGUGUCGAGACUCUGGCCUCGCCCUAGCAGUCUUGCUGCAGAGUGAUCCCUUCUAAGUCCCCUUCUCAGCACCUGCUGGAGGCGUUGCUGAUUUUCUUAUCACUUAUUCUCGUUUUCAAGCUGGCGAAAGACACUCGAUAGGUGUCGGGGUCUCCUGGGCGCGCUCACGAGCGUCCUCGGUGGCGCCAAGAACCGGAAGUGCCCGCGAGCUUUAUUGCAAGGGCAGAGAUUCACGCUCACCGGAAGCAGAGGCCGCUCAGGCUCCGCGUGGGCAGCGUGACGGCUGCGCGCUCACGUGACCCUGGGGCUCUGCGCAUGCUCCUUCGCGAUGCCUCUGUUUCUCUCAGCUCCGCGAGGCGCCAUCCCUGGGCUUCACUGCGCCUACGCGCUCCGGGGACCUCUCCCGGGGCCGCGGUUUCCUAGUCCACAGGAACAGGUGUUCAGUGAGAGGCGAGGUCGGGGGCGUCUCCUGCCGCUGCUGGUUUCUUCCAGCCUCCGCUGCCCCCAUCUGUCCCUGUGUUAGGUCCGUGAUAGUUGACGUUUAGUCCUGAAACUCCGCGUGUGCUUGACUUAAUAAUUUCAAAAUUGCGCCUCUUUCCCAAGCAGCUCCCCUUCUGAGGAGCGAUUCCAGUCACACAGAUCUCUGGAAAAGGACACUGCUGUCCGCGGAGGUUUCUCAGACCUUGUGCCUGCACCGCCCAGGGGAAGGGCUGCAGGCCUGGCUGUCUCCAGGCGCUGGAGCAGUAUCGCUAGGGAUUCUCUCUCUCCCAGCUCUCAUAGACAGAGCCCUCCACCUGUGUUAACAAGCUGGCGGUGUGCAGACGCAGCAGUCAGCGCUGGCAUCUUUGGGACCUGUGUAUGCGUCCCAAAUCACAGAGGAACAAUAAAAUGUGAUUUCUGCAGUCUUCCUUUUUCCCUUUAACUUUUUAUCAGACACAAAGAAAAACUGUGAAAACAGCACAAAUAAUGUCCGUAUACCCUUUAGCCUUCCCAAAUAUUAUACCGUUACACUGGAUGUGGUGGUGCAUGGCUAUGAUCCCAGCACUUGGGAGGCUGAGGCAGGAGGAUCUCUGUGAGCUCAAAGCCAGGCUGAACUACAUAGCGAGACCCUCAAAAAACAAGACGAAACAAACAAAUAAAUAUUACACUACUACCUCAUCUGGUUUGCUCUCUCCUCUCUCUCUUCCUCCCCAUAUAAUUUUUUCUUACUAGCGCAUGUUUGCAGUACGUAAUGUUUACCCUUCUGGUGUGGGGUUGAUGCAUGCACAGAACACAUUGUCAUUUCUUUUCCCUCCCCUUUCCCUCCUUCCCUCUCCUUCCUCCAUCCCCUUCCUCUUUAAGAAAGCACUAGCUCCCUACUUCCUAUUACCCCUUUUGUAUUUUGCUCUUUAUUUAUGAUUUGGGUUUCUCAUAUAAGGGAAACCAUGCAGUAUUUAAGCUUGAGUGUCUGAUUUAUUGCACUUAACAUGAUGGUCUCAAGGUGUCUCCAUUUCCUAUAAAUGCCUUGACUUUAUCCUUCUUUGGGGCAGAGUAGUACUCCAUUAUGUGCAAACAGCACAUUUGCUUUAUCUAAUCAUCUGUCGAUGGACGUACAGGCCGUUUCCAGGAUUUCACUAUGGUAAAUGGUGUUGCUAUAAACAUGAGUGUGCAUGGGGUAAUAGGAUG
rnacentral:lncRNA from 1 species